UACGUAGGGUGCAAGCGUUAAUCGGAAUUACUGGGCGUAAAGCGUGCGCAGGCGGCUUUGCAAGACAGAUGUGAAAUCCCCGGGCUUAACCUGGGAACUGCAUUUGUGACUGCAUGGCUGGAGUGCGGCAGAGGGGGAUGGAAUUCCGCGUGUAGCAGUGAAAUGCGUAGAUAUGCGGAGGAACACCGAUGGCGAAGGCAAUCCCCUGGGCCUGCACUGACGCUGAGGAGCGAAAGCCAGGGGAGCAAACGGG
rnacentral:rRNA from 1 species